AAGCGUUGUUCGGAAUUACUGGGCGUAAAGGGCUCSUWGGCGGCCAACUAAGUCGGAUGUGAAAUCCCCAGGCUUAACCUGGGAACUGCAUCCGAUACUGGAUGGCUUGAAUCCGGGAGAGGGAUGCGGAAUUCCAGGUGUAGCGGUGAAAUGCGUAGAUAUCUGGAGGAACACCGGUGGCGAAGGCGGCAUCCUGGACCGGCAUUGACGCUGAGGAGCGAAAGCCAGGGGAGCAAACGGGAUUAGAUACCCCGGUAGUCCUGGCCCUAAACGAUGAAUGCUUGGUGUGGCGGGUAUCGAUCCCUGCCGUGCCGAAGCUAACGCAUUAAGCAUUCCGCCUGGGGAGUACGGUCGCAAGGCUG
rnacentral:rRNA from 1 species